rnacentral:rRNA from 1 species
CCUACGGGAGGCAGCAGUGAGGAAUAUUGGACAAUGGGCGCAAGCCUGAUCCAGCCAUGCCGCGUGCAGGAAGACGGUCCUAUGGAUUGUAAACUGCUUUUAUACAGGAAGAAAUACUUUCUCGUGAGAGAGCUUGGCGGUACUGUAAGAAUAAGGAUCGGCUAACUCCGUGCCAGCAGCCGCGGUAAUACGGAGGAUCCAAGCGUUAUCCGGAAUCAUUGGGUUUAAAGGGUCCGUAGGCGGUUUAAUAAGUCAGUGGUGAAAUCUGGUCGCUCAACGAUCAAACGGCCAUUGAUACUGUUAGACUUGAAUUAUUGUGAAGUAACUAGAAUAUGUAGUGUAGCGGUGAAAUGCUUAGAUAUUACAUGGAAUACCAAUUGCGAAGGCAGGUUACUAACAAUGGAUUGACGCUGAUGGACGAAAGCGUGGGGAGCGAACAGGAUUAGAUACCCUGGUAGUCCACGCCGUAAACGAUGGAUACUAGCUGUUGGGCGCAAGUUCAGUGGCUAAGCGAAAGUGAUAAGUAUCCCACCUGGGGAGUACGUUCGCAAGAAUGAAACUCAAAUGAAAUUGACGG